CUGGGAUGAAAAUUUUGUACAGUACGUGCACAGUCUGAAUAUUUUCGACUUUCAUCAAAAGGAAGAACGGUAAUGUAUCUAAGAAUCAAACAUACGUUACCUAGGAUUUUAAGAGGCCAACGUAUUGAAAUGGUUUGGUGAAAGAACUUGUAGGGAUUCGGCAAUGUGAUAUAUCUGAAAAUGUAUUUCAAACAGAACGGGUGAAACAUUCAGACUUAAUGAAAAAGAAAAUUACCGACAGCAUGUCAUAGAAAUCUUCAGCGGCACCAUCUUCUAUGUUGUUUCCUGAAUGUGCAAUACAGAUAUAUUUAGAACAACAGCAUGUACUAUAUCAUUCAAUUUGGACACAGUACGCAGAUAAUUUCAACACUUGACAAUUAAAGGUUAUCAAAUUAUAGAUAGAUAAAAGUGGAAAUGAUUUUAUAUUGCAUCAUUUCAAAACUGCU